rnacentral:rRNA from 1 species
CUAGCCCUGAAAAUGGAUGGCGCUCAAGCGUCCUCCCGAUACUCGACCGUCGGGGCAGUUACGGCCGUCUACGGUCUCGAAGCCCCGACGAGUAGGAGGGUCGUGGCGGUGAGCGUUGAAGGGACCGGCGUGAGCCGGCCUGGAGCCGCCGCUAGUGCAGAUCUUGGUGGUAGUAGCAAAUACUCGAGUGAGAUCCUUGAGGACUGACCGUGGAGAAGGGUUCCAUGUGAACAUCAGUUGAACAUGGGUUAGUCGGUCCUAAGCCUCAGCCGAAAGGCGUCUCAGCGCUGGCAAGGUGUCAAUCCAAACUCUGCCACGAUCCGGGGGCUCACCCCCCUCUCUUUUGAGGGGGAGAAACCCAGGUGACGGGGGGGGACGCCUUGGAACGCGUCCGAAAGGACGCGGUCCGACAGGGCGUCCUGUAUUCCUCGGCUCGGGUAACACCGGCCGGGGGUCAGGCGUUUGCCGCACAGCCGUUGUAAAUUCGUAGGCAAAAGGGAAUCUGGUACUUAUUCCAAAACCUCGUCCCGGAUAAAACGUCCCCGAGCCUUCGGGCGAGGGUAUAACGGUCCUGGUAACGGGAAUGACCCUGCAUACACUGGCGGCGGUCCGGGAAAGAGUUUUCUUUUCUGUUUAAAACUCCGUGACCCUGGAAGCUACUCGCAAGGCGAUAGGGUCGUGGUAGCGUAGAGCGCCGCGGUUCUUGCGGGCGUCCCGUGCGCCGUCGUCGGUCCUUGAAAAUGCAGGCGAGGGCGGAAACCCAAGUUAAGAAGACGACACGCCUCGCAAGAGGGAAGUUGCUUCCGACGGGGGUAGUAAGCUUUCUGACGUNGUUUAAAAAACUGGUACAUGUUGAGCAACACAGGGGGUCCGUCCACAUUGGCUUUCCCACGAGCCGAAGAGCCCGUACUGACAACAUCCAGCUUUUUACUCUUGUCCAGUAAAAACACGUUGGCGGAGAAAUCCCCUUCACGGACUUUCGGGCGAGUCCGUACCCAUAUCCGCAGCAGGUCUCCAAGGUGAAUAGCCUCUAGUCGAUAGAUUAAUGUAGGUAAGGGAAGUCGGCAAAUUA